GUAGGUGACCUGCGGAGGUCUUUUAAUUAGGGGAGGGAUCCCUGAGGUUUGCGUACUUCUUGUUUCCUUGGUGGGUUCGCCCACCACUAGGACAAACAUAAACCUUUUGUAAUUGCAAUCAGCGUCAGUAACAAAUUAAUAAUUACAACUUUCAACAACGGAUCUCUUGGUUCUGGCAUCGAUGAAGAACGCAGCGAAAUGCGAUAAGUAGUGUGAAUUGCAGAAUUCAGUGAAUCAUCGAAUCUUUGAACGCACAUUGCGCCCUUUGGUAUUCCAAAGGGCAUGCCUGUUCGAGCGUCAUUUGUACCCUCAAGCUUUGCUUGGUGUUGGGCGUCUUGUCUCUAGCUUUGCUGGAGACUCGCCUUAAAGUAAUUGGCAGCCGGCCUACUGGUUUCGGAGCGCAGCACAAGUCGCACUCUCUAUCAGCAAAGGUCUAGCAUCCAUUAAGCCUUUUUUUCAACUUUUGACCUCGGAUCAGGUAGGGAUACCCGCUGAACUUAAGCAUAUCAAUAAGCGGAGGAA
rnacentral:rRNA from 1 species